rnacentral:rRNA from 1 species
ACGAGCGAGGCCUCUGGGUCACCUCCCACCCGUGUCUAUCGUACCUUGUUGCUUCGGCGGGCCCGCCGUUUCGACGGCCGCCGGGGAGGCCUUGCGCCCCCGGGCCCGCGCCCGCCGAAGACCCCAACAUGAACGCUGUUCUGAAAGUAUGCAGUCUGAGUUGAUUAUCGUAAUCAGUUAAAACUUUCAACAACGGAUCUCUUGGUUCCGGCAUCGAUGAAGAACGCAGCGAAAUGCGAUAAGUAAUGUGAAUUGCAGAAUUCAGUGAAUCAUCGAGUCUUUGAACGCACAUUGCGCCCCCUGGUAUUCCGGGGGGCAUGCCUGUCCGAGCGUCAUUGCUGCCCUCAAGCACGGCUUGUGUGUUGGGCCCCCGUCCCCCUCUCCCGGGGGACGGGCCCGAAAGGCAGCGGCGGCACCGCGUCCGGUCCUCGAGCGUAUGGGGCUUUGUCACCUGCUCUGUAGGCCCGGCCGGCGCCAGCCGACACCCAACUUUAUUUUUCUAAGGUUGACCUCGGAUCAGGUAGGGAUACCCGCUGAACUUAAGCAUAUC